AAUUUCUGUUUUUCCUACAUGUUCACUUAGGACUGUUAGAAACCUCAAAAAUGUUAUUGCUUGGCUUGACUUAGUGACUUCUGAUCACAUCUCAUAUGUU
rnacentral:sRNA from 1 species